ensembl:miRNA mirlet7a-6 microRNA let7a-6
CACAGUGAACCUGUGUGUUUCUUCAAGGUGAGGUAGUAGGUUGUAUAGUUUGUGGGAAGGAUCACAUCCUAUUCAGGUGAUAACUAUACAGUCUAUUGCCUUCCCUGAGAGACACAAUGACCACGAGUG